GACGAAGGGAGCAAGCGUUGUUCGGAUUCACUGGGCAUAAAGGGCACGUAGGCGGCCGAGCAAGUCGGAUGUGAAAUCCCGCGGCUCAACCGCGGAAUUGCAUCCGAUACUGCACGGCUUGAGGCCGGGAGGGGAGAGUGGAACUCCUAGUGUAGCGGUGAAAUGCGUAGAUAUUAGGAGGAACGCCGGUGGCGAAAGCGACUCUCUGGCCCGGUUCUGACGCUGAGGUGCGAAAGCUAGGGGAGCAAACAGG
rnacentral:rRNA from 1 species